rnacentral:rRNA from 1 species
AGCAGUCGCCACGGGAAUACGUAGGUGGCAAGCGUUGUCCGGAAUUAUUGGGCGUAAAGGGCUCGCAGGCGGUUUCUUAAGUCUGAUGUGAAAGCCCCCGGCUCAACCGGGGAGGGUCAUUGGAAACUGGGAAACUUGAGUGCAGAAGAGGAGAGUGGAAUUCCACGUGUAGCGGUGAAAUGCGUAGAGAUGUGGAGGAACACCAGUGGCGAAGGCGACUCUCUGGUCUGUAACUGACGCUGAGGAGCGAAAGCGUGGGGAGCGAACAGGAUUAGAUACCCGGGUAGUCCCUGUCUCUUAUAU